GUCUUUAUGUAUUUUUUAUAAAGUCUGACCUGCCCUAUGUUUUUAUAAAUGGCCGCGGUAUUAUGACUGUGCGAAGGUAGCAUAAUAAGUAGGCUAAUAAUUAUGGUCUAGUAUGAAAGGUUUGACGUAGUGAUAACUUUCUUAAUUAUUAAGAUGAAUUUUAAUUAUCAGUAAAAAUGCUGAUAUGAGUUGAUAAGACGAGAAGACCCUAUUAAAUUUUAUAUUAAGGUUAGUUUAUGGUAUAACGAAUAACUUAAGGUAUUUGGUUGGGGCGACUAAUAAUUUUAACAUUAUGAGGUUUUGUUUUUAUAAAAUUUGAUCCAUUAUUAAUGAUAAAUAGAAUAAAUUACUAUAGGGAUAACAGCGUGAUUUUAUUGUAGAGUUCUUAUUGAUAAUGGAGUUUGCGACCUCGAUGUUGGAUCAGGAUAUCUUAUUGGCGCAGGAGCUAAUAAAGAAAGUCUGUUCGACUUUUAAAUUCCUACG
rnacentral:rRNA from 1 species